rnacentral:rRNA from 1 species
UACUCGAGCGGCGAACGGGUGAGUAACACGUGAGUAAUCUGCCCUUGGCUUUGGGAUAACUACCGGAAACGGUGGCUAAUACCGGAUAUGACCAUGCUCGGCAUCGGGUGUGGUGGAAAGUUUUUCGGCCAGGGAUGUGCUCGCGGCCUAUCAGCUUGUUGGUGGGGUAAUGGCCUACCAAGGCUUCGACGGGUAGCCGGCCUGAGAGGGUGACCGGCCACACUGGGACUGAGACACGGCCCAGACUCCUACGGGAGGCAGCAGUGGGGAAUAUUGGACAAUGGGCGGAAGCCUGAUCCAGCAACGCCGCGUGAGGGAUGACGGCCUUCGGGUUGUAAACCUCUUUCAGUACCGACGAAGCGCCGAUGAUGGUGGUGACGGUAGGUACAGAAGAAGCACCGGCCAACUACGUG